AGAGUUUGAUCAUGGCUCAGAAUCAACGCUGGCGGCGUGCCUAACACAUGCAAGUCGAGCGAGAAAAGGUAGCAAUACCCUAGUACAGCGGCGCACGGGUGAGUAACACGUGGAUAACCUGCCUCGAAGUGGGGAAUAACACCGGGAAACCGGUGCUAAUACCGCAUACUCUGGCGAGAUCUGUGGAUUUUGUCAGCAAAGGAGCAAUUCGCUUUGAGAGGGGUCCGCGGCUGAUUAGCUAGUUGGUGAGGUAAUGGCUCACCAAGGCCACGAUCAGUAGCCGGUCUGAGAGGACGGUCGGCCACACUGGAACUGAGACACGGUCCAGACUCCUACGGGAGGCAGCAGUGGGGAAUUUUUCGCAAUGGGGGCAACCCUGACGAAGCAACGCCGCGUGGGUGAUGAAGUAUUUCGGUACGUAAAACCCUUUCGACGGGGACGAAACCGCAAGGUUGACGGUACCCGUAGAAGAAGCCCCGGCUAACUCCGUGCCAGCAGCCGCGGUAAUACGGGGGGGGCAAGCGUUGUUCGGAAUUACUGGGCGUAAAGGGCGCGUAGGCGGUUCGCUAAGUUGGAUGUGAAAACUCUGGGCUUAACCCAGAGCCUGCAUCCAAAACUGGCAAACUUGAGUACUGGAGGGGAAAGCGGAAUUCCUGGUGUAGCGGUGAAAUGCGUAGAUAUCAGGAGGAACACCGGUGGCGAAGGCGGCUUUCUGGACAGUAACUGACGCUGAGGCGCGAAAGCUAGGGGAGCAAACAGGAUUAGAUACCCUAGUAGUCC
rnacentral:rRNA from 1 species